UACGAGGGGGGCAAGCGUUGUUCGGAAUUAUUGGGCGUAAAGGGCGCGUAGGCGGUUUGACAAGUCUGAUGUGAAAUCUCUGGGCUCAACCCAGAGUCUGCAUUAGAAACUGUCGGGCUUGAGUAUGGGAGAGGUGAGUGGAAUUUCCGGUGUAGCGGUGAAAUGCGUGGAUAUCGGAAGGAACACCUGUGGCGAAAGCGGCUCACUGGACCAUAACUGACGCUGAGGCGCGAAAGCUAGGGGAGCAAACAGG
rnacentral:rRNA from 1 species